CACAGCCCCGCGGUGGCUGCCGGGAAAGCGAUGGCGGCGACAGCGGGAUCUGCUCCGACUUUGUGCCCCUGAGCAAUGGCCCGGAGGUGAGCCCAGAGCUGGCCCUGAGGUGGCCCUGAGAAGAAGUGGAAGGCAGAGGUGGUGCUGAGGCAGGAGAGCCCCGUGCUGGGGAAGAGGCUGAGCUGGGAGUGCCCAGCAGCGAGAAGGUGCUGUGUCCAUGCCCUGUGUGCCAGGUGAGCUGGGGCUUUGCUGCAGAGCUGCGGGCGCUGAUUGGAGCGGCUGCAGCUGCUGAGCUGGUGGCACCC